rnacentral:rRNA from 1 species
CUAACACAUGCAAGUCGAGCGGCAGCACGGGUACUUGUACCUGGUGGCGAGCGGCGGACGGGUGAGUAAUGCCUAGGAAUCUGCCUAGUAGUGGGGGAUAACGUCCGGAAACGGGCGCUAAUACCGCAUACGUCCUACGGGAGAAAGUGGGGGAUCUUCGGACCUCACGCUAUUAGAUGAGCCUAGGUCGGAUUAGCUAGUUGGUGUGGUAAUGGCUCACCAAGGMGACGAUCCGUAACUGGYCUGAAAGGAUGAUCAGUCACACUGGAACUGASACACGGUCCAGACUCCUACGGGAGGCAGCAGUGGGGAAUAUUGGACAAUGGGCGAAAGCSUGAU